rnacentral:lncRNA from 1 species
ACCCAGAUUCAGCAUAUGCAUUCAUACAAACAAUUACCGAGCGAUUCAUUUAAUAGGGAUUUCAUAAUCUGAAGCAUCAGUUACUGCAUCAGUCAGUACAUACCAGGAAAAAACAUAAGAACAAUACACUUCCUACCAAAACAUAUGUAUCCUCUAAAAUCAGAAUUGACAUGGACAAACAAAGGAAUUGUUAACAAACAACACUUGGACGAAGCAAAUCAUUCUAAGCCUACAAUUGAUAAGGUGGCUGAGAACACAUAUGCCUGCCACGCAACUCUGUACCGGCCAGCUGCUGAGUAAUGUAUUUAAAUAGGGAUCUCACAAUCUGCAACGAUAGUUAGGAAAGAUUUCAUAAAGAAGCAAGGGUAUUACUAAUGGCAGGGGGCAAGCAUUAUUGGCUUCUUGGCAGUCGCUUAAUAUGUCAAUCUUUUGAUCGUCAUCUUCAACCUCCUUACAGUCUGGACAUCUUCUCCUUUAAAUCACUUGAAUGGUCUUCAAAUAGCAUUGCCCACGAAGAUAUGCAUCACUACCGCAAGCCACGCCGAUGCAUACACCACAAGAAGGAGCAGCACCACAAUCUCGUCCAUCUCUGCGAUGUCGCGGUUGUGCCUGUCCUGCGAAGCGCCGAGGAGUGACGGCGAGCUAGGUUAGGAUCGGCAGUGGCACGAGCACUGCGACAGUAAGAGAAAUAGGGAAGGACAAGUGCACGAAAGAGGCGGGUCAAAGCAGCGAGGACGUACCUUGAGGACGAUGCUACCCGACCUCCUCCUCCUUGAUGACGAGGAAGCACCAAGGGCAGCUUGAUGCUUGCCGGUGGCCUCCCUGAUGAAUUGGAGCCGAGCACUACGGGGUCAAAGGUGCAUCACCUCAUGCUUCUCCCGCUGAGCACCGAGGAGAGGGAGGCCAGCUUGGGAGCGAAAGAGGCAGAAGUUGAAUACAUGUAAGCAAUCAACCAAGAAAUGAGAUGCUAUAUGUGAAUAAUAUACAAAUGAGGAGAUGCUAUAUAAAUGACCUGCAGCGCGCCUUGCCCUGCGGUGCUGGAGCAGACUGUUGUGCCUAAGCAUGUGUGCCAGCCAGGCAGAAGCAUUUAUCCUGAUUAAUAACAAUAGUAGUUGAGCUGCUAUUGCGCCGCCAAGUUCUGUUUGCACACAGUAGAAGGGAACCAGAAAUAUUAUAUAAGCCUUGCUCGUUUUUGUAAGGCGUGGAACAAAGAAACGCUCCAGGCCUUCGUAUCAAUAUAGAGAAGCUGAGCCUAGGUGUAUAAAUUACGAACGUUUGUUCUGCUACAUCAAAAAUAGAAGGAUCAGUAUGCUCAUGUACUUGGAAUUGUAAAGACAAAUUUAAAAGUAUCUGCUGCUGAUAAAAAAAUUAUAACAAGAUUUGGUGAAAUGUCAGUAGGCUCUUAGGAUCAGGGCAGCAGUCUUCGCCGUCUAAAAGUCUCUUGUUUGUAAUUACACAAAAAUGGAGUUUCAUUUGUUUGUAAUUACACAAAAAUGGAGUUUCAUUUGUUUGUAAUUACACAAAAAUGCAGUUUCCUUUGUUUUUUCCACAUACACAAAAAUGGAGUCUCCUUUGUUUUUCUACAUAAACAAAAAUGGAGUUUGCUAAUGCAAUCACAUGUAGCAGAGUUGUUCAAUCAAUGGACAGGGGGGAAUGAUAUAUACACUAACCACCACAAAGUCGUGUAACAAAAAACAGAGGAAAAACUGAAGGAAGAGCAAACAUGGCCAACUUCACAGGAGAGGUAGACAUGCCUUUGCCGGGAGAGGAGCAGGGUAGCGGUCAUCGCCGUCACCGGCAGGAGGUGUCUCUAGUGAGAAAAGACAUGGAAGCAAGCUGGAGAUUCACGACUCAGCCACAAUGAACUCCAUUAAAAUCCUUUGAAGCAUUCAAUUGCCACAACAGACCUAGAGGAAAUAGCCCAAUUAGCUCACCCGCUCACCAAAAAUAAGAAAUGGAGGGAAAGAGAUCCAAGGACACAAACCUACACUACAAUGGGUGAGUGGAUAAGAAGCAUAAACAUGUAGCAAUACAAUAAGCCUCUGAAGGAGACAUGGCGGCUCAGCGGUGACGGCAAGAGAGAUGGGCCGCUGGCUAGCCUCCUCUUCAGUCUCAGCAUAGUAC